rnacentral:tRNA from 6 species
GGGCGUGUAGCUCAGUGGUAGAGCGCCAAACUUAUAAUUUGGAUGCCGCAGGUUCAAUCCCUGCCACGCCCACCA